GACGAAGGAUGCAAGCGUUAUCCGGACUCAUUGGGUUUAAAGGGUGCGUAGGCGGACCUGUAAGUCAGUGGUGAAAUCUCUCAGCUUAACUGAGAAACUGCCAUUGAUACUGCAAGUCUAGAGUACAGAUGAUGUGGGCGGAAUAUGACAUGUAGUGGUGAAAUACUUAGAUAUGUCAUAGAACACCGAUUGCGAAGGCAGCUCACGAAACUGUAACUGACGCUGAGGCACGAAAGUGCGGGGAUCAAACAGG
rnacentral:rRNA from 1 species